rnacentral:rRNA from 1 species
CCUACGGGUGGCAGCAGUCGAGAAUCAUUCACAAUGGGGGAAACCCUGAUGGUGCGACGCCGCGUGGGGGAAUGAAGGUCUUCGAAUUGUAAACCCUUGUCAUGUAGGAGCAAAAUAACAAGAUAGUACCACCAGCGGCAGAGACUGCUAACUCUGUGCCAGCCGCCGCGGUAAUACCGAGGUCGCAAGCGUUGUUCGGAAUCACUGGGCGUAAAGGGUGCGUAGGCUGUUUCGUAAGUCGUAUGUGAAAGGCGCGGGCUCAACCCGCGGACGGCACAUGAUACUGCGAGACUAGAGUAAUGGAGAGGGAACUGGAAUUCUCGGUGUAGCAGUGAAAUGCGUAGAUA